GGGGGUGAACGGCAUCGACGGUGCUGCCGACGUCAGGCUGCAGGCGGAGCUCGCCAUCUCCGGAAACUGGCGAACCAAACAAUAACUGCGGAUUACGCAUUCGCUGCUCCUUCCCUGAACUAGGGAGGGCCGCCCGGUGGAGUUCCCCGUCGACUCCGCCGUGGCGUCACGAAGGCGGGUACGCCGUCCCACGCGCUUCCCGUAGGGACGGAAGAGAUCCACGGAGGCUGGGUGCACGACAUCCUGCACGCGAGAGGUCAUGCAUCGAGAUCAAACCGCGUGACUAAGCCUGUAGACGCCGAGCGAACGCAGUUCCGGACGCGGGUUCGAUUCCCGCCACCUCCACCA
rnacentral:tmRNA from 1 species